UACGGGGGGUGCGAGCGUUGUCCGGAAUCACUGGGCGUAAAGGGCGCGUAGGUGGUUUGAUAAGGGUGUGGUGAAAGUCCGGGGCUCAACCCCGGAUCUGCCGUGCCGACUGUCAAACUCGAGGGCUGUAGAGGCAGAUGGAAUUCCGGGUGUAGCGGUGGAAUGCGUAGAGAUCCGGAAGAACACCGGUGGCGAAGGCGGUCUGCUGGGGUGAGGCUGACGCUGAUGCGCGACAGCGUGGGGAGCAAACAGG
rnacentral:rRNA from 1 species